rnacentral:rRNA from 1 species
CGCGUAGGUGGUAGUGCAAGUCUGAGGUGGAAUCCCAGGGCUUAACCCUGGAACUGCUUUGGAAACUGCAUUACUUGAGUCAGUGAGGGGAGGGUAGAAUUCCUGGUGUAGCGGUGAAAUGCGUAGAUAUCAGGAGGAAGGCCGGUGGCGAAGGCGGCCCUCUGGCGCUGAACUGACACUGAGGCGCGAAAGCGUGGGGAGCAAACAGGAUUAGAUACCCUGGUAGUCCACGCCCUAAACGGUGGGUACUAGGUGUAGGGCUCGUAAGGGUUCUGUGCCGAAGCGAAAGCAUUAAGUACCCCGCCUGGGGAGUACGGCCGCAAGGUUGAA